rnacentral:lncRNA from 1 species
GAGGGGACGACACACUAGACAAACGAGGUGCUCUGAUGCUGUCUGUAUAAUGCUCCAGCUCUUGAAAGGAUAAAUCAUGGAGGGGAUCGUUAAAGCCGACCGGAGACAUCGUAGGUUUCAUAGGUUUAUUGCUCUCGUCAUUUGGUUUUUUAAGAGAAUCAGCUAGCUAGAGGAAUAACUGAUUGACCAGAUCAAUAUGGGCCUCCAGGCGGCACAAACGGUCACCUGAUCUCUGAUUGGUCGCUAAUUGUUCCCAAAAAGAACAAGCAGGCAUGCCUGAGUCGAUAUUAUGUUUUGAAAGGAAAAACACAAUGAUGAAAAAUUUGUCAAAGGUCGAAGAAGACAGCCAGGUCGGUGCGAUGGUAAUAUGUUC